rnacentral:rRNA from 1 species
AUUGAACGCUGGCGGCAUGCCUUACACAUGCAAGUCGAACGGCAGCACGGGAGCAAUCCUGGUGGCGAGUGGCGAACGGGUGAGUAAUGUAUCGGAACGUGCACAGUCGUGGGGGAUAACGUAGCGAAAGCUACGCUAAUACCGCAUACGAUCUAUGGAUGAAAGCGGGGGAUCGCAAGACCUCGCGCGAUUGGAGCGGCCGAUAUCAGAUUAGGUAGUUGGUGGGGUAAAGGCCCACCAAGCCUGCGAUCUGUAGCUGGUCUGAGAGGACGACCAGCCACACUGGAACUGAGACACGGUCCAGACUCCUACGGGAGGCAGCAGUGGGGAACUUUGGACAAUGGGCGCAAGCCUGAUCCAGCAAUGCCGCGUGCAGGAUGAAGGCCUUCGGGUUGUAAACUGCUUUUGUACGGAACGAAACGGCUUCUUCUAAUACAGAGAGCUAAUGACGGUACCGUAAGAAUAAGCACCGGCUAACUACGUGCCAGCAGCCGCGGUAA